GAUGCAUAUUCCUUCUUGUCCGCUCGCCUUUCUGUUCAGUUCCCUAUGAAACUUUAUAGAUUAAACUUUAUUUCAUGUGCAUUUGUAAAAUCGCAACACACUUCACAAUGAAAGAUGGCAAACAUUAGGCAUUAAAAUAAGUUAAACAACAACUUCAAUCUCCAGGAUCUCUCCCCUCUCUUCAAACAGGAAUAACAACAUAGUUAAGUGAUGACGCCAAAGAAGACACUGUUGUUCAGAAGAGCUAGCCAACAACACAACUAACACAAUCACUUCAAACUGAAGCUGGAAAGACAGCAAACUAGCUGGAGAUCGAAUUUGAAUGUUGAAAUAAUGUUGCAAAUGUCAGAGACAGACAGCAACGUUUGUACAAAUUCUCCAGUGUUGAAAACUAACUGUGAGACGGCCCACAGUCCGGAGCCGAGAGGGAGACGGCCCACAGUCCGGAGCCGAGAGGGAGACGGCCCACAGUCCGGAGCCGAGAGGGAGACGGCCCACAGUCCGGAGCCGAGAGGGAGACGGCCCACAGUCCGGAGCCGGCGCAGCCAGAGUCGUCCUUCAGCCCGAUGUCUCCAGCGAUGCGCCAUAGCCCAGAGACUUCGGGAGGGGUAAAAUUUAAUAAGUAUUUAGCGGGGGUGGACAGGUUAGGUUGGAGUAAGGCCGGAGCCUGACCCACCUCCGUAGUAGGAGGUUGGGGAGGGGGGGGGUGUAGCACAAGAACCGUCGGUGACGGUGGCCACCCUCCCUCC